UACGGAGGGUGCAAGCGUUAUCCGGAUUCACUGGGUUUAAAGGGUGCGUAGGUGGGUUGAUAAGUCAGUGGUGAAAUCCCCGAGCUUAACUUGGGAAUUGCGCUUGUGACUGGCGUGCUGGAGUGUGGCAGAGGGAGGUGGAAUUCCACGUGUAGCAGUGAAAUGCGUAGAGAUGUGGAGGAACACCGAUGGCGAAGGCAGCCUCCUGGGCCAGCACUGACGCUCAUGCACGAAAGCGUGGGGAGCAAACAGG
rnacentral:rRNA from 1 species